UUCCUUAUAAGAUAAAAUAAUCUAUAGUUUUUAGGUGACUAAAAUGAAUAACAAUUCUUAGGAGA
rnacentral:tRNA from 1 species